rnacentral:rRNA from 1 species
UACGUAGGGUGCAAGCGUUGUCCGGAAUUAUUGGGCGUAAAGAGCUCGUAGGCGGUUUGUCGCGUCUGCUGUGAAAACCCGAGGCUCAACCUCGGGCCUGCAGUGGGUACGGGCAGACUAGAGUGCGGUAGGGGAGAUUGGAAUUCCUGGUGUAGCGGUGGAAUGCGCGGAUAUCAGGAGGAACACCAAUUGCGAAGGCAGCUCGCUGGGACGUUACUGACGCUGAGACGCGAAAGCGUGGGGAGCGAACAGG